UGAGCAAUCUGCCCUUCUCUUCGGAAUAAGCGUUGGACACGACGUCUAAUGCCGAAUACGACCUCCUUUCGCAUGAUCGGAGGUGGAAAGCUCCGGCGGAGAAGGAUGAGCUCGCGGCCUAUCAGCUAGUUGCUGUGGGUAAUGGCCCACCAAGGCGACGACGGGUAGCCGGCCUGAGAGGGUGUCCGGCCACACGUGGGACUGAGACACGGCCCAGACUCCGUAGGGAGG
rnacentral:rRNA from 1 species